rnacentral:misc_RNA from 1 species
UUAAGUUCAGCGGGUAGUCCUACCUGAUUUGAGGUCAAAUAGUCAAUGUAGAUUGUCUCUUGAAAGAGACGGUUAUAAGCAGGUCCCCACAAGUCUUGUGUCAGAGUCAGGCGGCGUAGAUAAUUAUCACACCAAGUGACCAUCCACAAAGGAAUCCACUAAUGAAUUUAAAGGGAGCAGACCAUCCAAUGAAGGAAGCC